UAUGUGCUAGAAAAGGUAAUAAGCACUGAAGAGAAAGCAAAGAGGCGGGAAGAGAAAGUACUGGAGGAUGAAGCAGUAACAUCUAAGGCCAAAUUCUGCCUUAGUCAUUUUAUAGCCAUCCAAUCCUGGGCAAGUCACCUAAUUGAUUUCGGAAGUGAGGAAAAAGAAGAAGGAGAAGGAGGAGGAGGAGGAGGAAGAAGAGAAGAGAGAGAGACAAAGAGAGGGAGAAGGAGAGAGGAGCAGAGAGGAGAGAGAGGGGGAAAGGGGAGAAGAAGAAGGGGGAGAGAGAGAGAGAGAGAAGAGGGAGAGGAGGAGAGAGGGAGAAAGGGAAGAGAGGGGGGAUUGGGGGGAAGGAGGGAGAAAGUAGGAGAGGGAGGGAGGGAGAGAGAGAGAGAGAGAGAGAGAGAGAGAGAGAGAGAGAGAGAGAGAGAGAGAGAGAGAGAGAGAGAGAGAGAGAGAGAGAGAGAGAGAGAGAGAGAGAGAGAGAGAGAGAGAGAGAGAGAGGAAGGGAGGGAAGGAGUCCAUUAUGGGACAUGGAAAAUGUGGGGAAAGAUCAAGGUAGGUACCAGGACCUACAUAAUGACCUGCAGAUACGUAAAUUUGCUGCAGUGACAUUCAUAUGGUUAUACUUAUCAUAAAAGCAUGGCACUGACAAAAAGCAAACCAAAAUUGGCCAAUUCUUGAGUAUGUUGGCUAUCUGUAACCCAAACAUAAUCUUUUGUGGCAUUAAAAAUUAGAUGCAUACUUUGGGACACUGUGAUACUGUGAUGAAUGUACGUGGAAAUAUUGCCUACAUUUUUUAUUUUAUAUACUAGGCAGUGAGGUGUAUGUCAAGUUAAAAAGCAUUUAUUAGAUACCUCUGUAUGUAAGGCAUUGCACUAAGGAAGUACACCUUAUCAAGCACCUACUAGGUGCCAAGCACUGUGUUAAGUGUUUUACAAAAUAUUAUCUCAUUUUUCCUUACUACAGUACUGUAAGGUAGAAGCCAUUAUUAUCCUCACUUUAUAGGCAACAGACAAAAAGAGCUUAACUGCAUGCUUGAAGUCACACAGCUAGUGUAUGUCUGAGGCCAAAUUUGACCUCAGGUCUUCCAACUCCAGGUCCAGCAUGCUCGAUCCACUGUUCCACAUAGGUGCUAAGAAGUAUGAAUGCAAAAAUAGUGAAAACCAGUCCCUGUUCUCAAGGAGCUCACAGUUUAAUGGAUAAAAUCUAAGCUAUUGAGUCCAACAAAUGGUCCAAGUUCAACCAAUGAAGAAAUAAAUAUUUUAAGUACCUACUAUGUGCCA
rnacentral:lncRNA from 1 species